rnacentral:rRNA from 1 species
AGUAACGCGUGAGCAACCUGUCCUCACAGGGGAUAACACAGCGAAAGUUGUACUAAUACCGCAUAAGACCACACCGGGACAUCCCGGAGGGGUCAAAGGAGCAAUCCGGUGAAGGGUGGGCUCGCGUCCGAUUAGAUGGUUGGUGAGGUAACGGCCCACCAAGUCGACGAUCGGUAGCCGACCUGAGAGGGUGAUCGGCCACAUUGGGACUGAGACACGGCCCAAACUCCUACGGGAGGCAGCAGUGGGGAAUAUUGGGCAAUGGGGGAAACCCUUCGACCCAGCAACGCCGCGUGAGGGAAGAAGGUUUUCGGAUCGUAAACCUCUGUCCUUGGUGAAGAGAGAGAGACGGUAGCCAAGGAGGAAGCCCCGGCUAACUACGUGCCAGCAGCUGC